rnacentral:rRNA from 1 species
UGAGUAACGCGUAGAUAACCUGUCUUCAUGGUCUGGAAUAAUACGCCGAAAGGGGUACUAAUACCGGAUAUCUUGCUUUUCAUAAGUUAUGCAAGCAAAGGUGGCCUCUGCAUAUGCUACUGGCAUGAAAAGGGGUCGUGCGUACCAUUAGCUAGUAGGUGGGGUAAUGGCCUACCUAGGCGACGGAUGGUUAGCGGGGUCUGAGAGGAUGAUCCGCCACACUGGCACUGGAACACGGGCCAGACUCCUACGGGAGGCAGCAGUGAGGAAUAUUGCGCAAUGGGGGAAACCCUGACGCAGCGACGCCGCGUGAGUGAGGAAGGCCUUCGGGUCGUAAAGCUCUGUCAAGAGGAAAGAAGUGUACAAUGGCUAAUACCUGUUGUAUUUGACGGUACCUCUAAAGGAAGCACCGGCUAACUCCGUGCCAGCCGCGGC